AGAGUUUGAUCAUGGCUCAGGACGAACGCUGGCGGUAUGCUUAACACAUGCAAGUCGAACGAGACAAAAGAGAAGUGCUUGCACGGAUCUUUUAGAAAGUGGCGAACGGGUGAGUAACGCGUGGGUAACCUACCCUAUGGAAAGGAAUAGCCUCGGGAAACUGGGAGUAAUGCCUUAUAAGAUAUAUUUGUCGCAUGGCAGAUGUAUUAAACGCUCCGGUGCCAUAGGAUGGACCCGCGUCCCAUUAGCUAGUUGGUGAGAUAACAGCUCACCAAGGCGACGAUGGGUAACCGGUCUGAGAGGGCGAACGGUCACACUGGAACUGAGACACGGUCCAGACCCCUACGGGAGGCAGCAGUGGGGAAUAUUGCGCAAUGGGGGAAACCCUGACGCAGCAAUACCGCGUGAGUGAAGAAGGUUUUCGGAUCGUAAAGCUCUGUUAUUGGGGAAGAAAAAAAGACGGUACCCAAGAAGAAAGUCCCGGCUAACUACGUGCCAGCAGCCGCGGUAAUACGUAGGGGACAAGCGUUGUCCGGAUUUACUGGGCGUAAAGGGCACGCAGGCGGUUUUUUAAGUCAGAUGUGAAAGGUACCGGCUCAACCGGUGACAUGCAUUUGAAACUGAAAGACUUGAGUAUUGGAGAGGCAAGUGGAAUUCCUAGUGUAGCGGUGAAAUGCGUAGAUAUUAGGAGGAACACCGGUGGCGAAAGGCGGCUUGCUGGACAAAUACUGACGCUGAGUGCGAAAGCGUGGGGAGCAAACAGGAUUAGAUACCCUGGUAGUCCACGCCGUAAACGAUGAGUGCUAGGUGUUGGGGAGACUCAGUGCCGCAGCUAACGCAUAAGCACUCCGCCUGGGGGAGUACGA
rnacentral:rRNA from 1 species